ACGAACGCUGGCGGCAUGCCUAACACAUGCAAGUCGAACGCGACCUUCGGGUCUAGUGGCGCACGGGUGCGUAACGCGUGGGAAUCUGCCCUUGGGUUCGGAAUAACAGUGAGAAAUUACUGCUAAUACCGGAUGAUGUCUUCGGACCAAAGAUUUAUCGCCCAGGGAUGAGCCCGCGUAGGAUUAGCUAGUUGGUGGGGUAAUGGCCUACCAAGGCGACGAUCCUUAGCUGGUCUGAGAGGAUGAUCAGCCACACUGGGACUGAGACACGGCCCAGACUCCUACGGGAGGCAGCAGUGGGGAAUAUUGGACAAUGGGCGCAAGCCUGAUCCAGCAAUGCCGCGUGAGUGAUGAAGGCCUUAGGGUUGUAAAGCUCUUUUACCCGGGAUGAUAAUGACAGUACCGGGAGAAUAAGCUCCGGCUAACUCCGUG
rnacentral:rRNA from 1 species